CUUAGUUCGUAAUUUUUAAUCUUUUGCUCGUCACUUCUCAAUUCAAUCUUCAGUUCUCAGCUCCAUCACGACGGCGGCAGCGGCAGCAGCAGCGGCGGUUAGAUUCAGCCUGUGAGCUACCAUUUCCGAUUAUCAAUUGAUGCUUUAACCAAUCUUGAUGUCACGCAAGCGCAACGUCAUUGUGGCCACAGGCUUAGUGGUUUUUGCAUCGGCCGGAUUGGCAUUUCCCUUCUACAUGGCGUCGAAGUCAUCCAAGGGUCCCGUGAUAGACUCAUCAAAGCCCCUGCCCCCUCAAGCAACUUUCCGCGGACCUUACAUCAAUACUGGCUCACGCGAUAUUGGACCCGAUUCUAAUAUCUAUCCUAAGAAAUAGUUUGCUUCUCUCAUGGUACGAAUAUGUGGACUCUUGCUUCAACCAAACACGGGCAUCAUCGUGCUCUAUCGCCUCAUAGCCACCAUACACAAGCUACACGCCGCCACCGCUGCCACCACGCUCAUGCUUAUUUGUUUAAGUUUGUACUAGAAAAUUUAUGAAUGUUAGAAUUGCAUAGCCAUUGUGAUGUCUAUGACCACACUUAGUUAUAGUCGCAUUAUCUUCUUUUUCUUCCAAUUAACAUAUAAUGUAAGAUUGAUUCUCACUAAAUAAAUUUUUGGUCUAUAGUUCCCAAUUUUCUAAAUUAA